CUGGAGCAGAUUGGUGGUUGUUGCUAGGCCCCGCGGCUGACUCCUCAGUGCAGAGGUGCCACUCAGCCGUCUGUAGGGCUGCGCGCCAUCGUGAGGAGGAGGCGGGGUGGCAAUGUUCUUGCACCGCCGGUCGCCUGGAGCCGUGCCUUUGACCGUCUCCUUGAGGGCACUUUAUACAGCAAGAACCUAGAAGGCAUCUCUAGAAGGAACACCCCAGAACCUUGUAACAGGAUGGGUUUCUACAGUUGAAGCUAGAAGGACCUCCACUGUUGGGAGCAAUGCUACAUAAUUCUAGGGAAAAAUCAUUUGAUUAGGCCUAGUUCUUCCACCUACAGGCCAGCUAUGGCAUUCCAAGACAUAAUUCCAUUUUGGCCUCGGGUCACAAUUGAGACCUCAGUGAUCCCGUGAUGCGGUGAUGCUCCAGGACAAGACCACACCUGUGGGAGACACCCUGGGAGGAACCAAAUCUUCAUCUGUGUAGUUCCUGGGAGGAACCAAAUCUUCAUCUGCAUA
rnacentral:lncRNA from 1 species